UACGUAGGGGGCUAGCGUUGUCCGGAAUCAUUGGGCGUAAAGCGCGUGUAGGCGGCUCGAUAAGUCCGCUCUGAAAGCCCGGGGCUCAACCCCGGGAGGCGGGUGGAUACUGUCGAGCUCGAGUCCGGAAGAGGCAAGUGGAAUUCCCGGUGUAGCGGUGAAAUGCGCAGAUAUCGGGAGGAACACCAACGGCGAAGGCAGCUUGCUGGGACGGUACUGACGCUGAGACGCGAAAGCGUGGGGAGCAAACAGG
rnacentral:rRNA from 1 species